rnacentral:lncRNA from 1 species
UGGUACAAAGUACUUUGAGCUUUGUGUGUGUGUUUUAAUGGCAAAAUUCUCCAUUGGUGUGCUUGGGCCUCUUCUACCUGCAAGCAUAAUCAAUGAGGAAAGGUACUGGGAGACUUUUCUGUAUACAAAAUUGAACUAGUGCCGCCAUAUUUAUUUCUCAUCAAUCUUUUUUAAUGGGAUUAUCGACAUGUGUGUAAAAGUGACUUUCCUAGCUUGAUUCAUUUUUGCCUCUUCUUUACAUGAGAAAACCAUCAAACCCCUGAUGAAAACAGUGCAAUGAUACUACACUGAUUAUAACAAGCUUACUUACUUCAUUAUUCAUUGUGUUCUCUAGAUGAAUCAUAUGCUUUCCAUAUACGGAAAAGACAGGUUAAAUCAUAAGUGCCCCUUAGUGCUUACCUGGAGCUCAUAUAAUGAGAGUAAUAAUAUUAUCUUCCUCUUGAGGCUUUGAGGGAAUUAAAUAGCUGGAAACAUGUAAAACAGAGAGAGCAGUUUCGGACACACCGUGCACAUAACAUUUACACCCAGUAAAUGGCAGUCCUCAUUGUCGUUGUUAUUGCCUGGUAUCAUAUAGUUAGUUAAGGAGUUUCAACAAG